UGGUAGACUCCUUCCUGCAGCAAGACCC
rnacentral:piRNA from 1 species